rnacentral:rRNA from 1 species
CGGUCCUAAGGUAGCGAAAUUCCUUGUCGGGUAAGUUCCGACCUGCACGAAUGGCAUAAUGAUGGCCAGGCUGUCUCCACCCGAGACUCAGUGAAAUUGAAAUCGCCGUGAAGAUGCGGUGUACCCGCGGCUAGACGGAAAGACCCCGUGAACCUUUACUAUAGCUUGACACUGAACAUUGAAUUUUGAUGUGUAGGAUAGGUGGGAGACUUUGAAGUAGUCACGCCAGUGAUUAUGGAGUCGUCCUUGAAAUACCACCCUUUAACGUUUGAUGUUCUAACGAAGAUUGCGAAACGUGGUCUCGGACAGUGUCUGGUGGGUAGUUUGACUGGGGCGGUCUCCUCCCAAAGAGUAACGGAGGAGCACGAAGGUUUGCUAAUCACGGUCGGACAUCGUGAGGUUAGUGCAAUGGUAUAAGCAAGCUUAACUGCGAGACAGACAAGUCGAGCAGGUACGAAAGUAGGUCAUAGUGAUCCGGUGGUUCUGCAUGGAAGGGCCAUCGCUCAACGGAUAAAAGGUACUCCGGGGAUAACAGGCUGAUACCGCCCAAGAGUUCAUAUCGACGGCGGUGUUUGGCACCUCGAUGUCGGCUCAUCACAUCCUGGGGCUGAAGUAGGUCCCAAGGGUAUGGCUGUUCGCCAUUUAAAGUGGUACGCGAGCUGGGUUUAGAACGUCGUGAGACAGUUCGGUCCCUAUCUGCCGUGGGCGUUGGAGAAUUGAUUGGGGCUGCUCCUAGUACGAGAGGACCGGAGUGGACGCAUCACUGGUGUUCCAGUUGUCUCGCCAGAGGCAUUGCUGGGUAGCUACAUGCGGAAGAGAUAAGUGCUGAAAGCAUCUAAGCACGAAACUUGCCAAGAGAUGAGUUCUCCCUGUCUUUAAGACAGUAAGGGUUGUUUAAGACUAAGACGUAGAUAGGUGCGGUGUGUAAGUGUAGUGAUACAUUGAGCUAACGCAUACUAAUUGCCCGAGAGGCUUAGCCAU